rnacentral:rRNA from 1 species
ACGUAGGUGGCAAGCGUUAUCCGGAUUUACUGGGCGUAAAGGGUCCGUAGGUGGUUGGGAGGGUCUGGUGUGAAAGCGCUCGGCUUAACUGAGCGAGGCCACUGGAAACCGCCCAACUGGAGUCGCGCAGAGGGCACUGGAAUUCCCGGUGUAGUGGUGGAAUGCGUAGAGAUCGGGAGGAACACCAGAGGCGCAAGCGGGUGCCUGGGCGACGACUGACACUGAGGGACGAAAGCGUGGGGAGCGAACAG